AGUGAACGCUGGCGGUAGGCCUAACACAUGCAAGUCGAACGGCAGCACAGAGGAGCUUGCUCCUUGGGUGGCGAGUGGCGGACGGGUGAGGAAUACAUCGGAAUCUACUCUGUCGUGGGGGAUAACGUAGGGAAACUUACGCUAAUACCGCAUACGACCUACGGGUGAAAGCAGGGGAUCUUCGGACCUUGCGCGAUUGAAUGAGCCGAUGUCGGAUUAGCUAGUUGGCGGGGUAAAGGCCCACCAAGGCGACGAUCCGUAGCUGGUCUGAGAGGAGGAUCAGCCACACGGGAACUGAGACACGGUCCAGACUCCUACGGGAGGCAGCAGUGGGGAAUAUUGGACAAUGGGCGCAAGCCUGAUCCAGCCAUACCGCGUGGGUGAAGAAGGCCUUCGGGUUGUAAAGCCCUUUUGUUGGGAAAGAAAUCCAUCUGGUUAAUACCCGGGUGGGAUGACGGUACCCAAAGAAUAAGCACCGGCUAACUUCGUGCCAGCCGCCGCAGUAA
rnacentral:rRNA from 1 species